GACGAACGCUGGCGGCGUGCUUAACACAUGCAAGUCGAACGAUGAAGCCGGAGCUUGCUCUGGUGAAUUAGUGGCGAACGGGUGAGUAACACGUGAGUAACCUGCCCUUGACUCUGGGAUAACUGCGGGAAACUGUAGCUAAUACCGGAUACGACCCUCGGAGGCAUCUCCUGGGGGUGGAAAGAAUUUCGGUCAAGGAUGGACUCGCGGCCUAUCGGCUAGUUGGUGAGGUAAAGGCUCACCAAGGCGACGACGGGUAGCCGGCCUGAGAGGGUGACCGGCCACACGGGGACUGAGACACGGCCCAGACUCCUACGGGAGGCAGCAGUGGGGAAUAUUGCACAAUGGGCGCAAGCCUGAUGCAGCAACGCCGCGUGAGGGAUGACGGCCUUCGGGUUGUAAACCUCUUUUAGCAGGGAAGAAGCGAAAGUGACGGUACCUGCAGAAAAAGCACCGGCUAACUACGUGCCAGCCGCCGCGGUAA
rnacentral:rRNA from 1 species